AAGAGUGAAAUUACAACCUAAAGGACCUAUCGUACCUUCUUUUGGAGUAACCUUAGUGCUAGUGAGAGCCUUGCCUACUUUUUAAGGCUAAGAAGACUCAUUUUCUGCAGGUAAACCAAAAGCUUUCAGUUCUAGAGAGCUGAGGGACAGAACAAGCAUUUGGUCGAUGCUGUACCAUCACAUAGCCAAAAGGACUUCCAAGAUACUUGAAGAGAAAUCUCAUAUCUUGACAACAUCCUUAUGCUUCCUAGAGCUGGAUCUUGUGAUCUAUCGCGUGGUUCCUGGUCAAGGACUCUCCAAACUAUGGCUGCAACAUUAUCCUAUUAAGGCAAGAGUCUGGGAAGCUGGAGGGACUGGAAUCAAAUUUUCCAUUUAGAUUAUCAGUUUUCAA